UCAGGACGAACGCUGGCGGCGUGCCUAAUACAUGCAAGUCGAGCGGGGUUGAUUAGAAGCUUGCUUCUAAUCAACCUAGCGGCGGACGGGUGAGUAACACGUAGGCAACCUGCCCACAAGACAGGGAUAACUACCGGAAACGGUAGCUAAUACCCGAUACAUCCUUUUCCUGCAUGGGAGAAGGAGGAAAGACGGAGCAAUCUGUCACUUGUGGAUGGGCCUGCGGCGCAUUAGCUAGUUGGUGGGGUAAAGGCCUACCAAGGCGACGAUGCGUAGCCGACCUGAGAGGGUGAUCGGCCACACUGGGACUGAGACACGGCCCAGACUCCUACGGGAGGCAGCAGUAGGGAAUCUUCCGCAAUGGGCGAAAGCCUGACGGAGCAACGCCGCGUGAGUGAUGAAGGUUUUCGGAUCGUAAAGCUCUGUUGCCAGGGAAGAACGUCUUGUAGAGUAACUGCUACAAGAGUGACGGUACCUGAGAAGAAAGCCCCGGCUAACUACGUGCCAGCAGCCGCGGUAAUACGUAGGGGGCAAGCGUUGUCCGGAAUUAUUGGGCGUAAAGCGCGCGCAGGCGGCUCUUUAAGUCUGGUGUUUAAUCCCGAGGCUCAACUUCGGGUCGCACUGGAAACUGGGGAGCUUGAGUGCAGAAGAGGAGAGUGGAAUUCCACGUGUAGCGGUGAAAUGCGUAGAUAUGUGGAG
rnacentral:rRNA from 1 species